rnacentral:rRNA from 1 species
GAUGAACGCUAGCGGGAGGCCUAACACAUGCAAGCCGAGCGGUAGAGUUUCUUCGGAAACUUGAGAGCGGCGCACGGGUGCGUAACACGUGUGCAACCUACCUUUAUCUGGGGGAUAGCCUUUCGAAAGGAAGAUUAAUACCCCAUAAUAUAAUGAUUGGCAUCAAUUAUUAUUGAAAACUCCGGUGGAUAGAGAUGGGCACGCGCAAGAUUAGAUAGUUGGUGAGGUAACGGCUCACCAAGUCAAUGAUCUUUAGGGGUCCUGAGAGGGAGAUCCCCCACACUGGUACUGAGACACGGACCAGACUCCUACGGGAGGCAGCAGUGAGGAAUAUUGGACAAGGGGUGAGAGCCUGAUCCAGCCAUCCCGCGUGAAGGAUGACGGUCCUAUGGAUUGUAAACUUCUUUUGUACAGGGAUAAACCUACCCUCGUGAGGGUAGCUGAAGGUACUGUACGAAUAAGCACCGGCUAACUCCGUG